rnacentral:rRNA from 1 species
AUUGAACGCUGGCGGCAGGCCUAACACAUGCAAGUCGAACGGUAGCACAGAGAGCUUGCUCUCGGGUGACGAGUGGCGGACGGGUGAGUAAUGUCUGGGAAACUGCCUGAUGGAGGGGGAUAACUACUGGAAACGGUAGCUAAUACCGCAUAACGUCGCAAGACCAAAGAGGGGGACCUUCGGGCCUCUUGCCAUCAUAUGUGCCCAGAUGGGAUUAGCUAGUAGGUGGGGUAACGGCUCACCUAGGCGACGAUCCCUAGCUGGUCUGAGAGGAUGACCAGCCACACUGGAACUGAGACACGGUCCAGACUCCUACGGGAGGCAGCAGUGGGGAAUAUUGCACAAUGGGCGCAAGCCUGAUGCAGCCAUGCCGCGUGUAUGAAGAAGGCCUUCGGGUUGUAAAGUACUUUCAGCGGGGAGGAAGGUGAUAAGGUUAAUAACCUUGUCGAUUGACGUUACCCGCAGAAGAAGCACCGGCUAACUCCGUGCCAGCCGCCGCCGUAA